rnacentral:rRNA from 1 species
CGACUGUUUACCAAAAACAUAGCUUCUAGAAAUAAUUAGAAGUAAAAUCCUGCCCGGUGAAAGCAAUUUUAAACGGCCACAAUCGUGCUAAGGUAGCGUAAUCAGUUGUCCUUUUACUGAGGACUAGUAUGAAAGGAAAAACGAGGCUCAACUGUCUCUAUUAAAAAAAUAAAAAUUAGUUUUUAGAUGAAAAAAUCUAAAUGAAAUUAAAGGACGAAAAGACCCUAUAGAGUUUAAAUAUAAUUAUACUAUUCACAAAUUAAACAAAACGAAUAGGAUAAGUAUUUUAAUUGGGGCAACAUAGGAACAAGAAAUUUCCUUAUAGUAAACAUUUAACAUCAUAAAAAUAAAAAUCCUCAAAGAGAUAAAGAAAAACUACCUUAGGGAUAACAGCGUAAUUUUUCUAAAGAGACCUAAUCGAAAGAAAAGUUUGCGACCUCGAUGUUGGACUAAGGCAUCAAAAUGGUGAAGAAACUAUUAAAAGUAGGCCUGUUCGGCCUAAUAGCCUUACAUGAUUUG